rnacentral:piRNA from 1 species
UGCCAGGCAAGGGGACACAUAGUGGAC